GAUGAACGCUGGCGGCGUGCCUAAUACAUGCAAGUCGAGCGAACAGACGAGGAGCUUGCUCCUCUGACGUUAGCGGCGGACGGGUGAGUAACACGUGGAUAACCUACCUAUAAGACUGGGAUAACUUCGGGAAACCGGAGCUAAUACCGGAUAACAUGUUGAACCGCAUGGUUCAACAGUGAAAGACGGUCUUGCUGUCACUUAUAUAUGGAUCCGCGCCGCAUUAGCUAGUUGGUAAGGUAACGGCUUACCAAGGCAACGAUGCGUAGCCGACCUGAGAGGGUGAUCGGCCACACUGGAACUGAGACACGGUCCAGACUCCUACGGGAGGCAGCGGUAGGGAAUCUUCCGCAAUGGGCGAAAGCCUGACGGAGCAACGCCGCGUGAGUGAAGAAGGUCUUCGGAUCGUAAAACUCUGUUAUUAGGGAAGAACAAAUGUGUAAGUAACUAUGCACGUCUUGACGGUACCUAAUCAGAAAGCCACGGCUAACUACGUG
rnacentral:rRNA from 1 species